rnacentral:lncRNA from 1 species
CACAUUUGUUCAGGAAUUUUAUCCUAUAUUUGAACACUCAGAUAACUUGUUGGAUUGCUAUUCAAUACUUUCGGAAAAAAUUGAAGUUUUUCUCAACUUGAUUAUUUUAUAAUUCCAAAACAAAGUAAAAAUGGCCGCUUCUUAUAGCUUGUUGACAUUUGGAAUAGUACUCUUGCUGCAUAGUUUGAUGCAACGGGUUUAGAGAAUGUUCUGCAUGAAUUCUUUGGAGUUCGUGAAAAUGUUGAUUAAAAGGUUCUGUAAUAUGAUUAUAUAGAAAUUCGAUUCUUGAUUUUUAUAUAGUUUAAAAUAUUCAGACAAUGUUGUCCAUAUGGUUCUUGAUCGUUGCAUGGUUUAGUGGAAUACAUUUAGAUAUUGUUGUCCAUAAAAAUCUUGGGAGGUCUGGAAGUGUUCGAAAAAAGAUGGUAAUAACACGAGAAUCUCAAUUUACAAUUUUCGAUCUAAAAUUGUUAAUGAGUGCUAUAA